AGUGAGCGCUGGCGGUAGGCCUAACACAUGCAAGUCGAACGGCAGCACAGUAAGAGCUUGCUCUUACGGGUGGCGAGUGGCGGACGGGUGAGGAAUACAUCGGAAUCUACUUUUUCGUGGGGGAUAACGUAGGGAAACUUACGCUAGUACCGCAUACGACCUACGGGUGAAAGCAGGGGAUCUUCGGACCUUGCGCGAUUGAAUGAGCCGAUGUCGGAUUAGCUAGUUGGCGGGGUAAAGGCCCACCAAGGCGACGAUCCGUAGCUGGUCUGAGAGGAUGAUCAGCCACACUGGAACUGAGACACGGUCCAGACUCCUACGGGAGGCAGCAGUGGGGAAUAUUGGACAAUGGGCGCAAGCCUGAUCCAGCCAUACCGCGUGGGUGAAGAAGGCCUUCGGGUUGUAAAGCCCUUUUGUUGGGAAAGAAAAGCAGCAGGUUAAUACCCCGCUGUUCUGACGGUACCCAAAGAAUAAGCACCGGCUAACUUCGUG
rnacentral:rRNA from 1 species